rnacentral:lncRNA from 1 species
AUUGAUUUUAUUUAUUUUACAAAGCAGGUCAAUUAAGAAUAAAUGAUUAUUUACAAUGACAGCCAAAGGAAUCCUGUGACGCAGAGGGCGAGGUCUAAAAGUCUAGGACAAGACAGUCAACACAAUAAAUCUGAGAAGUCAUAAUUCCAUUUCAUAUUUUGGUUAGAAAGGCUUAAUAAACCCAUAAUAAACCCUUAGCCCAUACUGUAUGAUUCAGAAAUCAUGCCUUAGUAAAGGUCCCACUGUAAGACUUGUCUGUCAUUUCAACAGUAAAACACUGUAGGAUCCAUAGGAUAAUACCGUAAAUGUGUUGUUUUUCUUAAAUGUAUAUUUCAGGUAGAAUUUCACUGUAAAUUUGCAGCAAUAUCCUGACACCAGAGUUUGCAUCUUAAUACUGUAAUUUGGCUUUACAGUACCAUUUUCCUUACUGUAAAACAUUACAGCAUCCAUUUACAUUUACUGCAAGUAUGCUGUAAUAUGUCUUUACAGUAAAGGAAAAUAGUACUGUAAAACAUAUUACAGCAUCUCUGCUAAUGUAUGAUUUUGCUCAUAAAUUAGUUGUGAAGCAUAUAUGUAUUGUUAAAACUUUAUGAAUACUGUAUAACAGUGUUUUCCCAAAAUGAUUCUCUCCAAGAAUACCCCCAGAGACUUUUUAGGCUCCUAUACUACCAGCACACCUGAUUCAACUAGGCCUAAUCAAGGGCUGGAUAAUGAGUUGAGCAGUUAGUUAAUUAAUUAGUAACUAGUAAAUUAGUUAAUUAGUUGACUAACCUUGAACGGUAAGACAAAUCUGCUUGCUUAUUGAACCACUCGGGUAAACAUUGAAGGAACAAAUAUAGCAGGCUUCGUCUGCCCAUGUUACAUUCUUCACGGUAAUAGACGUUGAGUUGAGAGAUGCUUCCGUGAAAACCACCUUGCCUCGGUGCGGGUCUAUGAUUUGAGCUCCAAACCGCUUGCUGUAGGUGGCCAGAUUCUCCACGGAGUCGUCUUUGAACAGCCUCUGCCAGGUGACUUGCAGCACACCUGUCGGGUCCGCAUGGGUGCAGGUAUAUGAUGCGUCGGCAUUGAAGUCAACACUGGUGUCUCCUCUAGCUACGACGUUGACAGAGACGGCUAGAAAUGGAAGAAGGAAUGUUAACAGGGCUCUCUCAUCUGGUGAGAACACAGCAGGUUGUCACAGCAACCCUGGGAGAA